rnacentral:rRNA from 1 species
GGACCCGCACAAGCGGUGGAGUAUGUGGCUUAAUUCGAUGCAACGCGAAGAACCUUACCUAGGCUUGACAUGUAUUGCUAAGCACGUGAAAGCGUGUGACUCUUCGGAGACCUUACACAGGUGCUGCAUGGCCAUCGUCAGCUCGUGUCGUGAGAUGUUUGGUUAAGUCCAGCAACGAGCGCAACCCCUGUGGAUAGUUGCCAGCACGUAAUGGUGGGGACUCUAUCCAGACUGCCCAGGUCAACUGGGAGGAAGGUGGGGAUGACGUCAGGUCAGUAUGGCCCUUACGCCUAGGGCUGCACACGUACUACAAUGCCCAGCACAAUGAGAACCGAGACCGCGAGGUGGAGGAAAUCUGCAAAACUGGGCCCAGUUCGGAUUGGAGGCUGCAACUCGCCUCCAUGAAGUUGGAAUCGCUAGUAA